rnacentral:rRNA from 1 species
CAGCAGCCGCGGUAAUACAGAGGAUGCAAGCGUUAUCCGGAAUGAUUGGGCGUAAAGGGCUCGCAGGCGGUUUCUUAAGUCUGAUGUGAAAGCCCCCGGCUCAACCGGGGAGGGUCAUUGGAAACUGGGAAACUUGAGUGCAGAAGAGGAGAGUGGAAUUCCACGUGUAGCGGUGAAAUGCGUAGAGAUGUGGAGGAUCACCAGUGGCGAAGGCGACUCUCUGGUCUGUAACUGACGCUGAGGAGCGAAAGCGUGGGGAGCGAACAGGAUUAGAUACCCGCGUAGUCCCUGUCUCUUAUAC